GUAAAUAGAGGCGAUGGAGUUCGCCCUAAGCGCCAAUAGGCUAAUGACUCCUACCAGUAA
rnacentral:ncRNA from 2 species